UAUUAUGGUGCACCUGGCUAACUGACAGAGUUUAUUCAUUUAUUUAUUCCAAAAAUAUUUACUGCGAAUGUCCACUCUACUCCAGAUAUGUUCCUAGCUCCAGAAAAUGGGAUGUUGCAAAGCAGAGCCUCCUAAAAUAUAUGUGAAAUGUUUUUACCAUGGAGGAAAGAACAGUAUAAGCCUGAAAGCUUGUUUUUCUCAUUAAUGUUGUUGGAGAAGAUAAUCAAAAUCAUGAUGAUGGCAUUGUACCAUGAAAAUGAUUUCCAGGUGAAUUUUUGAGAAAGGUUACUCUGGAGCAACUAAGGGUCCAGAGGCAAAUGAUCCUUCUCCUGACAUAUUUUCAGAAGGACCCUCCUGACCUCAUGGACAUCAGCCGCCUUGCGGAUGAAAGACGCGAACACCCUAUCUACGUCCUGCUCCACCCGGAAUUUCAGAUCCUGGAUGUCCUUCCCGACACAGCGGGCAGGUCCACGGCAGCCCCGGGGAGGUUCGCACCCGUCUUGCUGCCCAGGGAGCCGCCGUUCUCCACCUCCGUCACCAGGAAGUCAGCACCUUUCUGCUUCACCUGCAGAGAAAUAAGCCCAUCGUCCACGUAGAUCUGCUGCCCACUUCCACCACCUUCAGAUGUUCUUGUAGUCCAGCCACAGGAUGUCCUCGUCACAUUUUUCCAUGUAGGCAUUGUCCAGGGUGAUCUUGAGACUGGCUCCUUUCUUCAGCUCUACCUCUGCAGUCCCACUGCCUUUGAUGAGGUCGGUUCAGAUCUCAGGGCCUUUGGUGUCCAGGGCCACAGCCACUGGCCGGUAGAUGAUGGGGUCAGAAGCGAAGCUCUCUGUGGCUGCGCGCACCUUCUUGAUGGUCCCUGCGUGGUACUCGUGAGCUCCAUGAGAGAAGUUCAGGCGAGCCACAUUCGUUCCAAACUUAAUCAUCUCCUUCAACGUCUCCACCGAUCGGGAAGCUGGUCCAAUGGUACAGAUGAUGCCAGUGUUCCGGGCCGUGAUGGGUGGGGAGUCGAUGUCCAGGCGGCACAUGUGUUUGUACUUUAGAAUCUUUAAAACUCUCAGAUAAAUGCCACCCUGUGACACAGAUUUAUUACAGUUUUGUUCUCAACUUGUCAUCUAGCACUUCUGUUGUUGAUAACUUAGAUAGGUUUCAUUUCUCUUAUCUACAAAAAAUAAACAAAGCCAAGGAUUUUUUUUUUUUUUUUUU
rnacentral:lncRNA from 1 species